rnacentral:misc_RNA from 1 species
AACGGUCUAUACCUGCGGUACCUGCGGAAGGAUCAUUACAGAGUUGAAAAACUCCCAAACCCUUGUGAACAUACCUAACGUUGCUUCGGCGGUGCGGCCCUAGGCCGCUGCCUCCCUGUGAGGCGCCCGCCGGAGGUUUACAAACUCUAUGUAUUAUAUUGUCUUCUCUGAGUUGUCUUUUAAAUAAGUCAAAACUUUUAGCAAUGGAUCUCU